rnacentral:rRNA from 1 species
AAAGGGGGUAUCCAUUUUUCCCCUAAAUUAAGUGAUAACCUGCCGAAAGGCAGACUAAACCUUAUGUAAUCCUUUGGCGGCAUCAGAUUAGGAUUAAAGAUUUUUCGGUUAUGGAUGGGGAUGCGUCUGAUUAGAUUGUUGGCGGGGUAACAGCCCACCAAGGCAACGAUCAGUAGGGGUUCUGAGAGGAAGGUCCCCCACAUUGGAACUGAGACACGGUCCAAACUCCUACGGGAGGCAGCAGUGAGGAAUAUUGGUCAAUGGGCGAGAGCCUGAACCAGCCAAGUAGCGUGCAGGACGACGGCCCUAUGGGUUGUAAACUGCUUUUGUAUGGGGAUAAAGUCAAUCACGUGUGAUUGUUUGCAGGUACCAUACGAAUAAGGACCGGCUAAUUCCGUGCCAGCAGCCGCGGUAAUACGGAAGGUUCGGGCGUUAUCCGGAUUUAUUGGGUUUAAAGGGAGCGUAGGCCGGAGAUUAAGUGUGUUGUGAAAUGUAGACGCUCAACGUCUGACUUGCAGCGCAUACUGGUUUCCUUGAGUACGCACAACGUUGGCGGAAUUCGUCGUGUAGCGGUGAAAUGCUUAGAUAUGACGAAGAACUCCGAUUGCGAAGGCAGCUGACGGGAGCGCCACUGACGCUUAAGCUCGAAGGUGCGGGUAUCGAACAGG